UCGGCCGCUUCCGGUCCUGCGCUGCGGGCCUCAGAGGACUUGGUGCUCGGCAAACCCAGAGACUCAAACACCAUGUCCGGGGGGUGGGGGAAGCGGCGCGGGGGAGAUCCUCACGCUGUGUUCGGCAGUGAGGCGGCGAGAGCGCGCCGGUUCAGCCGGAGACCGCUGUGGGAACCGCGCCGAACACGCUUUGGGCGGCCAUUUUGUAACUCGAAUCUACCCUCAAAAUCAAUUCGAAAAAAAGGGAGGCAAGAAACGCCCCUACAGUGUUCUGAACUGGGUUGAACACACAAAGGAUGCUAAAAUUUUCCACUUGUAUACAGGUCCCUCCAAGACUUCGCUUCUCACCAUGAUUCUGACAUUGAUAUGAAAACACUCAAGAUUUCACUUCUCACCAUGAUUCUGACACUGAUAUGAUCACUGA
rnacentral:lncRNA from 1 species